rnacentral:rRNA from 1 species
GAUGAACGCUGGCGGCGUGCCUAAUACAUGCAAGUCGAGCGAACGGACGAGAAGCUUGCUUUUCUGAUGUUAGCGGCGGACGGGUGAGUAACACGUGGAUAACCUACCUAUAAGACUGGGAUAACUUCGGGAAACCGGAGCUAAUACCGGAUAAUAUUUUGAACCGCAUGGUUCAAAAGUGAAAGACGGUCUUGCUGUCACUUAUAGAUGGAUCCGCGCUGCAUUAGCUAGUUGGUAAGGUAACGGCUUACCAAGGCAACGAUGCAUAGCCGACCUGAGAGGGUGAUCGGCCACACUGGAACUGAAACACGUUCCGGACUCUAAGGGAGGCAGGCAGAAGGGAACCUUCCGAAAUGGGCGAAAGCCUGACGGAGAAACGCCGCGUGGGUGAGGAAGUCCUUCGGAUCGUAAAACUCUGUUAUUGGGAAAGAACAGAUUUGAAAGUAACUGUGCACAUCUUGACGGUACCAAAGCAGAAAGCCACGGCUAACUACGU